rnacentral:rRNA from 1 species
GACGAACGCUGGCGGCGUGCUUAACACAUGCCAGUCGAACGGAAAGGCCCUGCUUUUGUGGGGUGCUCGAGUGGCGAACGGGUGAGUAACACGUGAGUAACCUGCCCUUGACUUUGGGAUAACUUCAGGAAACUGGGGCUAAUACCGGAUAUGAGCUCCUGCUGCAUGGUGGGGGUUGGAAAGUUUCGGCGGUUGGGGAUGGACUCGCGGCUUAUCAGCUUGUUGGUGGGGUAGUGGCUUACCAAGGCUUUGACGGGUAGCCGGCCUGAGAGGGUGACCGGACACAUUGGGACUGAGAUACGGCCCAGACGCCUACGGGAGGCAGCAGUGGGGAAUAGUGCACAAUGGGCGGAAGCCUGAUGCAGCAACGCCGCGUGCGGGAUGACGGCCUUCGGGUUGUAAACCGCUUUCGCCUGUGACGAAGCGUGAGUGACGGUAAUGGGUAAAGAAGCACCGGCUAACUACGUG